GAUGAACGCUAGCUACAGGCUUAACACAUGCAAGUCGAGGGGAAACGACAUCGAAAGCUUGCUUUUGAUGGGCGUCGACCGGCGCACGGGUGAGUAACGCGUAUCCAACCUGCCCAUCACUUGGGAAUAACCUUGCGAAAGUAAGACUAAUACCCAAUGAUAUCCCACGAAGGCAUCGGAAUGGGAUUAAAGAUUUAUCGGUGACGGAUGGGGAUGCGUCUGAUUAGCUUGUUGGCGGGGUAACGGCCCACCAAGGCAACGAUCAGUAGGGGUUCUGAGAGGAAGGUCCCCCACAUUGGAACUGAGACACGGUCCAAACUCCUACGGGAGGCAGCAGUGAGGAAUAUUGGUCAAUGGGCGAGAGCCUGAACCAGCCAAGUAGCGUGCAGGAAGACGGCCCUAUGGGUUGUAAACUGCUUUUAUAAGGGAAUAAAGUGGGUCACGUGUGACUUUUUGCAUGUACCUUAUGAAUAAGAACCGGCUAAUUCCGUG
rnacentral:rRNA from 1 species